GAACAGCUUCUGAGGAUCGAGGAGGAGCUGGGCGACGCUGCGGUGUACGCUGGCCUCAAGUUCGCCUGACUUCCGUCAAAGUGUAAUCAUGUUGUACACAGUACACCGUUCUCCAUCGGCGUCGACUCCCAAGCAGCUGGCAUGACGAGCACUGCACAAGGUCCCUGCUGCCUGCUGACUGUCAAUGGCUCCCUUCCCUGCUGCAGGUCGUGGUUGAAAUAGACCCACAAGACAGAACUCAGCUCCGGAUUAGUCCUUCCGAAGCUAAGUUAUUUUACAUCAGUUUACCCCCUUUUAGCAGCUGCCAUUAUUUUCGGUACUCCUUUCGAGCAUUGUUGAAAGAAAUCAGCAGCUGCCAUUAUUUUACAUCAGUUUACCCCCUUUCAGCAGCUACCAUUAUUUUCUGGUACUCCUUUCGAGCAUUGUUCAAAGAAAUAAGCAGCUGUCAUUAUUUUUACAUCAGUUUACCACCUCUUACUAGCAAGGAACAACUCAUUUCUCUCGCUACUCCUAAUUUUUUCUUGUGCUUUUCUGUAGGAGGAGAAAUUCAUUCUCAGAUCACAAGAACCACAGAACAGCAAGGGUGAUAUUCAGGUUGACAUAUUUCCAUAGACAAUCUAACCUGUACAGGGAUGAGUAAGAGAUGAAAAACUUCAAUUGAAAGCACCGCAAAGGUAUCUAAGCAAUGGUAACAUCAUUUGAAAAACAUCCCUUUCCUUUCCCUGAUUUACCGUAGGUUAAUAACUUAUAACGUAAAUGUCAAUAACUUACAGCAUAAAUAUCUUUUUAUAGGCAGUCUUUCACACUAAAUCGACAACACAGGCCGUACAAGAUACUUCCUUUUUCCGUACACUGUUCUUCGUGCUAGUAUCAGGUUUAGUAAACAUACACACAAGUAAAAAUGCUAAUCGUUUCUCUCUGCGCCCACCAUGCAAAAAAAAAUGACCCAAGAAGAUAAUUGCCUCCAUUUCUUUUCCCAUAGCAUCCUAUGCGCGUUGUAGCUCUCUGGUCCAGCCCACGACGCCUCGUUAUGUCGCCUGUUGUUGGAGGACAGAUAAAGGGAAUUAGUCCCUUCUGAUUUCUAUAUAAGAAAAUAUGAUAGCCAUAAUAAAUCCUAUAAGAUUAACACUGCUAGCGUAACGCGAGUCGAGGCGGACGUCAUCGCGGUAGCAACGACGGACGCCGAGACGAGCACGUGACACCAU